rnacentral:rRNA from 1 species
UACGGAGGGUGCAAGCGUUAAUCGGAAUUACUGGGCGUAAAGCGCACGUAGGUGGUUUUCUAAGUCAGCUGUGAAAUCCCCGGGCUCAACCUGGGACUUGCAGUUGAAACUGGAAAGCUAGAGUAGGGUAGAGGGGUGUGGAAUUCCAGGUGUAGCGGUGAAAUGCGUAGAGAUGCGGAGGAACACCGAUGGCGAAGGCGGCUUCCUGGACCGACACUGACGCUGAGGCGCGAAAGCUAGGGGAGCAAACGGG